AUCAGGAUGGCCAAGUGGUCUAAGGCACUAGACUCAAGCUCUGGAGAUGUGGGUUCAAAUCCCACUCCUGGCA